AUACGGAGGCUGCAAGCGUUACUCGGAAUCACAGGGCGUAAAGCGCGCGCAGGCGGUCUUUUAAGUUGGAUGUGAAAGCCUACGGCUCAACCGUAGAACUGCAUCCAAAACUAUUAGACUAGAGUGUGGGAGUGGAAGAUGGAAUUAGUUGUGUAGGGGUAAAAUCCGUAGAGAUAACUAGGAAUACCAAAAGCGUAGGCAAUCUUCUGGAACACUACUGACGCUGAGGCGCGAAAGCGUGGGGAGCAAACAGGAUUAGAAACCCUAGUAGUCC
rnacentral:rRNA from 1 species